GCUGCAAUUCCCACUCCACAGUGGCUAUCACAGACGCAGGCAAAAUCCCAGCUCUGCCAGCCAUCUCAGCUCCCAUGUUACGGUCCCAUUAUUUUGGCCCUACCCAUCUUGUUCUAUUUCCAGUCCCAGGACCCAGCUCCAACGUCCAUAUCACAGGCCUACAGUGAUUCCUGCACACAGAUCCUACAGUGGCUAUGACAUUAUCAGUCCCUAUCCCAGCCCACAGUGAUUUCAGCUCUAGCCCUGGAGAGCCCUUCCCAGCCCCAGUGAUUUCAGCUCUUGGCCCACAAGCUUUAUUUCACUGCAUGCUCUCUUCUUCCAGCUCCAGAUGCGUGUUUCUUCAAUGCUGCUGGCAGAAACUUCUCCAGCUCCAGAUGCGUGUUUCUUCAAUGCUGCUGGCUGAAACUUCUCCAGGUACAAGGCGCAGGAUCUUCCUCCUGUCUCCAGCUCGGCAACAUUUCAGCUCCCACCCUUGGGCCUAGAAGCCCACCCCACAGUCAAUGUCCCCGCCCCACUGUGAAUUCAGCACCAGCGCUACAGUGGCUAUCAAAGACGCAGGCAAAAUCCCUAACGCGUUUCAGCUCCCCUGCUACGGUCCCAUUAUUUUGCCCCUACCCAUCUUGUUCUAUUUCCAAUCACAGGACCCAGCCCCAACAUCCAUAUCACAGGCCUACAGUGAUUCCAGCACACAGAUCCUACAGUGGCAAUCCCAUUAUCAGUCCCUAUCCCAGCCCCACAGUGAUUUCAGCACCAGCCCUACAGUGGCUAUCACAGACGCAGGACAAAGUCCCUAAGCCGAACCCAUUUCAGCUCCCGUGUUACAGUCCCAUUAUUUUGCCCCUACCCAUCUUGUUCUAUUUCCAAUCACAGGACCCAGCCCCAACAUCCAUAUCACAGGCCUACAGUGAUUCCAGCACACAGAUCCUACAGUGGCUAUGUCAUUGUCAGUCCCUAUCCCAGCCCCACAGUGAUUUCAGCUCUAGCCCUGGAGAGCCCUUCCCAGCCCCAGUGAUUUCAGCUCUUGGCCCACAAGCUUUAUUUCACUGCAUGCUCUCUUCUUCCAGCUCCAGUUGCGUGUUUCUUCAAUGCUGCUGGCAGAAACUUCUCCGGGUACAAGGCGCAGGAUCUUCCUCCUGUCUCCAGCUUGGCAACAUUUCAGCUCCCACCCUAGGGCCUAGAAGCCCACCCAACAGUCAAUGUUCCAGCCCCACAGUGAUUUCAGCCGCAGCGCUACAGGGCCUAUCAAAGACGCAGGCAAAACCUUGGCACUGCCAGCAUUUCAGCUCCCAUGUUAUGGUCCCAUUAUUUUGCCCCUACCCAUCUUGUUCUAUUUCCAGUCACAGGACCCAGCCCCAACAUCCAUAUCACAGGCCUACAGUGAUUCCAGCACACAGAUCCUACAGUGGCUAUGUCAUUGUCAGUCCCUAUCCCAGCCCCACAGUGAUUUCAGCUCUAGCCCUGGAGAGCCCUUCCCAGCCCCAGUGAUUUCAGCUCUUGGCCCACAAGCUUUAUUUAACUGCAUGCUCUCUUCUUCCAGCUCCAGAUGCGUGUUUCUUGAAUGCUGCUGGCAGAAACUUCUCCAGGUACAAGGCGCAGGAUCUUCCUCCUGUCUCCAGCUUGGCAACAUUUCAGCUCCCACCCUAGGGCCUAGAAGUCCACCCCACAGUCAAUGUCCCCGCCCCACAGUGAUUUC
rnacentral:lncRNA from 1 species